UACGUAGGGGGCGAGCGUUGUCCGGAAUUAUUGGGCGUAAAGCGCGCGCAGGCGGUCUCUUAAGUCUGAUGUGAAAGCCCACGGCUCAACCGUGGAGGGUCAUUGGAAACUGGGGGACUUGAGGGCAGGAGAGGAGAGUGGAAUUCCUAGUGUAGCGGUGAAAUGCGUAGAUAUUAGGAGGAACACCAGUAGCGAAGGCGGCUCUCUGGACUGUAACUGACGCUGAGGCACGAAAGCGUGGGGAGCGAACAGG
rnacentral:rRNA from 1 species